CCCUACGGGGCGCAGCAGGCGCGAAAACUCUACAAUGCAGGCAACUGCGAUAGGGGGACAUCGAGUGGCAUCCACCUUGGGUGCCUGUCCAGCCGUCUAAAAAACGGCUGUUAGCAAGGGCCGGGUAAGACCGGUGCCAGCCGCCGCGGUAAUACCGGCGGCUCGAGUGGUGGCCGAUAUUAUUGAGUCUAAAGGGUCCGUAGCCGGCUUUGCAAGUCCCCUGGGAAAUCCAGCGGCUUAACCGUUGGGCUUUCAUGGGAUACUACAUUGCUUGGGACUGGGAGAGGUAGGAGGUACUCGGGGGGUAGGGGUGAAAUCCUGUAAUCC
rnacentral:rRNA from 1 species